UACGGAGGGCGCGAGCGUUAAUCGGAAUUACUGGGCGUAAAGCGCGCGUAGGCUGUUGUGUAAGUUGGGGGUGAAAUCCCACGGCUCAACCGUGGAACAGCCCUUGAUACUGCGCGACUUGAAUCCGGGAGAGGGUGGCGGAAUUCCGGGUGUAGGAGUGAAAUCCGUAGAUAUCUGGAGGAACAUCAGUGGCGAAGGCGGCCACCUGGACCGGUAUUGACGCUGAGGCGCGAAAGCGUGGGGAGCAAACAGG
rnacentral:rRNA from 1 species